rnacentral:rRNA from 1 species
UAGGGAAUCUUCCACAAUGGACGCAAGUCUGAUGGAGCAACGCCGCGUGAGUGAAGAAGGUUUUCGGAUCGUAAAGCUCUGUUGUUGGUGAAGAAGGAUAGAGGUAGUAACUGGCCUUUAUUUGACGGUAAUCAACCAGAAAGUCACGGCUAACUACGUGCCAGCAGCCGCGGUAAUACGUAGGUGGCAAGCGUUGUCCGGAUUUAUUGGGCGUAAAGCGAGCGCAGGCGGAAGAAUAAGUCUGACGUGAAAGCCCUCGGCUUAACCGAGGAACUGCAUCGGAAACUGUUUUUCUUGAGUGCAGAAGAGGAGAGUGGAAUUCCAUGUGUAGCGGUGGAAUGCGUAGAUAUAUGGAAGAACACCAGUGGCGAAGGCGACUCUUUGGUCUGCAACUGACGCUGAGGCUCGAAAGCAUGGGUAGCGAACAGG